rnacentral:rRNA from 1 species
CCUACGGGAGGCAGCAGUGGGGAAUAUUGCACAAUGGGGGAAACCCUGAUGCAGCGACGCCGCGUGAAGGAAGAAGUAUUUCGGUACGUAAACUUCUAUCAGCAGGGAAGAAAAUGACGGUACCUGACUAAGAAGCCUCGGCUAACUACGUGCCAGCAGCCGCGGUAAUACGUAGGGGGCAAGCGUGAUCCGGAUUUACUGGGUGUAAAGUGAGCGUAGGCUGCGAUGCAAGUCAGAAGUGAAAGCCCGGGGCUCAACUCCGGGACUGCUUUUGACACUGUAUGGCUAGAUUGCAGGAGAGGCGAGUGGAAUGCCUAGUGUAGCGGUGAAAUGCGUAGAUAUUAGGAGGAACACCAGUGGCGAAGGCGGCUUGCUGGACUGUAAAUGACGCUGAGGCUCGAAAGCGUGGGGAGCAAACAGGAUUAGAUACCCGUGUAGUC